rnacentral:rRNA from 1 species
UACAGAGGUCUCAAGCGUUGUUCGGAUUCCUUGGGCGUAAAGGGCGCGUAGGCGGCGGGGUAAGUCGGGUGUGAAAUCUCAGAGCUCAACUCUGAAACUGCACUCGAUACUGCUCUGCUUGAGGACUGGAGAGGAGACUGGAAUUCACGGUGUAGCAGUGAAAUGCGUAGAUAUCGUGAGGAAGACCAGUGGCGAAGGCGGGUCUCUGGACAGUUCCUGACGCUGAGGCACGGAGGUCAGGGGAGCAAACGGG